rnacentral:rRNA from 1 species
GUGGGGAAUCUUAGACAAUGGGGGCAACCCUGAUCUAGCCAUGCCGCGUGAGUGAUGAAGGCCUUAGGGUUGUAAAGCUCUUUCAGCUGGGAAGAUAAUGACGGUACCAGCAGAAGAAGCCCCGGCUAACUCCGUGCCAGCAGCCGCGGUAAUACGGAGGGGGCUAGCGUUGUUCGGAAUUACUGGGCGUAAAGCGCACGUAGGCGGAUUGGAAAGUUGGGGGUGAAAUCCCGGGGCUCAACCCCGGAACUGCCUCCAAAACUACCAGUCUUGAGGUCGAGAGAGGUGAGUGGAAUUCCGAGUGUAGAGGUGAAAUUCGUAGAUAUUCGGAGGAACACCAGUGGCGAAGGCGGCUCACUGGCUCGAUACUGACGCUGAGGUGCGAAAGCGUGGGGAGCAAACAGGAUUAGAAACCCCUGUAGUCC